rnacentral:rRNA from 1 species
GUUUGAUCCUGGCUCAGGAUGAACGCUAGCGGCAGGCUUAACACAUGCAAGUCGAGGGGCAGCAUGUCCAGCAAUGGAUGAUGGCGACCGGCGGAAGGGUGCGUAACGCGUGAGCAACAUGCCCUAUACAGGGAGAUACACCAGGGAAACUUGGUCUAAUAUCCCAUAGCAUUCAUUGAAGGCAUCUUUAAUGAAUUAAAGCUUCGGUGGUAUAGGAUUGGCUCGCGUGACAUUAGCCAGAUGGUGAGGUAACGGCUCACCAUAGCAAUGAUGUCUAGGGGUUUUGAGAGGAAGGCCCCCCACACUGGGACUGAGACACGGCCCAGACUCCUACGGGAGGCAGCAGUGAGGAAUAUUGGACAAUGGAUGGAAAUCUGAUCCAGCCAUGCCGCGUGCAGGAAGACGGCCUUAUGGGUUGUAAACUGCUUUUAUACGGGAGCAAUAAGGGUUACGAGUAAUCCGAUGAGAGUACUGUAUGAAUAAGCACCGGCUAACUCCGUGCCAGCAGCCGCGGUAAUACGGAGGGUGCAAGCGUUAUCCGGAUUUAUUGGGUUUAAAGGGUGCGUAGGCGGCUCUAUAAGUCAGUGGUGAAAUCAUCAGGCUCAACCUGAUACCUGCCAUUGAUACUGUAAAGCUUGAGUAUUAUCGACGCGGGAGGAAUGCGACAAGUAGCGGUGAAAUGCUUAGAUAUGUCGCAGAACACCAAUAGCGAAGGCAUCUCGCGAGGUAAUCACUGACGCUAAGGCACGAAAGCGUGGGUAGCAAACAGGAUUAGAUACCCUGGUAGUCCACGCCGUAAACGAUGAAAACUGGGUUUUUAAUGAAGAUCAUUAGAAGCCUGAGUGAAAAGCAUUAAGUUAUCCACCUGGGGAGUACGUUCGCAAGUAUGAAACUCAAAGGAAUUGACGGGGGCCCGCACAAGCGGAGGAACAUGUGGUUUAAUUCGAUGAUACGCGAGGAACCUUACCCGGGCUUAAAUGUAGAUUGCAUAAUUUAGAGAUAAAUUUUUCCCUCAAAAGACUAUCUACAAGGUGCUGCAUGGUUGUCGUCAGCUCGUGCCGUGAGGUGUCGGGUUAAGUCCCAUAACGAGCGCAACCCCUGCUACCAGUUACCAGCAUGUAAUGAUGGGGACUCUGGUAGGACCGCCGCCGUAAGGCGAGAGGAAGGUGGGGAUGACGUCAAAUCAGCACGGCCCUUACGUCCGGGGCGACACACGUGUUACAAUGGCCGGCAUAGAGGGCUGCUACACAGCGAUGUGAUGCUAAUCUCAAAAACCGGUCGUAGUUCGGAUUGGAGUCUGAAACUCGACUCCAUGAAGCUGGAUUCGCUAGUAAUCGCAUAUCAGCCAUGAUGCGGUGAAUACGUUCCCGGGC